rnacentral:rRNA from 1 species
UCGAACGGUAACAUUGGUGCUUGCACCAGAUGACGAGUGGCGGACGGGUGCGUAACGCGUAUGCAACCUACCUUUUACUAGAGAAUAGCCCAGAGAAAUUUGGAUUAAUCCUCUAUAAUAUCAUUAAAUCACAUGUUUUUUUGAUUAAAGUUUUAACGGUAAAAGAUGGGCAUGCGUCUUAUUAGUUUGUAGGUGAGGUAACGGCUCACCUAGACUACGAUAAGUAGGGGCCCUGAGAGGGGGAUCCCCCACACUGGUACUGAGACACGGACCAGACUCCUACGGGAGGCAGCAGUAAGGAAUAUUGGACAAUGGACGAAAGUCUGAUCCAGCCAUGCCGCGUGCAGGAUGACUGCCCUAUGGGUUGUAAACUGCUUUUAUACAGGAAGAAACACUCCGACGUGUCGGAGCUUGACGGUACUGUAAGAAUAAGGAUCGGCUAACUCCGUGCCAGCAGCCGCGGUAAUACGGAGGAUCCAAGCGUUAUCCGGAAUCAUUGGGUUUAAAGGGUCCGCAGGCGGUCUUUUAAGUCAGGGGUGAAAUCCUACAGCUCAACUGUAGAACGGCCUUUUGAUACUGAAAGACUUG